rnacentral:piRNA from 1 species
UGGUGCUAUGACACAUAGGCUGCGU